rnacentral:rRNA from 1 species
UACGGGGGGGGCAAGCGUUGUUCGGAAUUACUGGGCGUAAAGGGCUCGUAGGUGGCCAACUAAGUCAGACGUGAAAUCCCUCAGCUUAACUGGGGAACUGCGUCUGAUACUGGAUGGCUUGAGUUUGGGAGAGGGAUGCGGAAUUCCAGGUGUAGCGGUGAAAUGCGUAGAUAUCUGGAGGAACACCAAUGGCGAAGGCAGCUCGCUGGGACGGUACUGACGCUGAGACGCGAAAGCGUGGGGAGCAAACAGG